rnacentral:tRNA from 1 species
GCCGGGAUGGUGGAAUUGGCAGACACGUACGUUUGAGGGGCGUAUGCCUUACGGCGUGGGGGUUCGAGUCCCCCUCCCGGCA